AUUCCAAUAAUAGAGGCAAGGAAGGGAAGAAGAGGAAGUUCAACUCGUCUCAACUCAACUCAACUCAGCCCAGCUCAGUUCAGCUCGCCUCUCUUCCGAUUUCAGUGUAUAUGCUUGGAUCGAUUCGAUGGGUUCUUCUUCAGUUGUACGGAAUACUGGCUCACUAUGGGAUGCAAUCAUGGAGUUCAAGGAUCUGGAAGAUACAAUUUUAGAGGUAAAAGAUGCGUUGCUUCUUCAUUCAGAGAAGGAACUACUUGAAAGUGAUAUAGUCAAGGAUCUGCUUAUGUUCGUCGAAGAUGUACUGUAUCGAGGUGGUGAUUUGGCAGACGAAAUCUUCCCCAUGGCUAUGCAAAGACGAAACAUUAUGUGGACCAAAAAGGUACGAUUUUUCUUCUCAACUCCAUUAAAGCCACUUAUUUAUCGGCGAAGAUUGUCUUUAGUUAUCAAAGAAAUGAGGACGUUGUAUUGGAUUUCAAAGUUCGUGUUGGGGGAAGGGGAAGGGGAAGGGGAAGGGGAGUGGGAGGGGGAUGAGCUCCGCCAUUUCCGUCAAGGGGAGUUUGGAGGGAUCAUGGGGGAGAAGAAGAAGAAGGCUCCUUCUUGUGUACCUAAAGAGCUUAUUGGGAGGGAAGCUGAAGUAGAAUCAAUCAUAGCAGAGUUGUUGAAAGACCAUAUUCAAGAAGAGAGUAUAUUGGUCAUUCCCAUUGUGGGUAUUGCGGGAUUAGGAAAAACUGCACUUGCCCAAUUCAUUUUCAAUGAUAAGAAGGUUCAACAACAUUUUGAACUUAAAAUCUGGGUGUCGGUUUCUGAUGUGUUUGAUUUCAAAGAAAUUGUGGAGAAGAUUAUUGUAUCUAUAACCAAAAAUUACCCAGAAAAUGGCCUUGCUCUUCACAAAUUGCAAGACAUUCUUCGUCAAAGAAUACAAGGAAAGCAUUAUCUCCUCAUUCUCGACGGUGUGUGUGAUGGGCUUACAAAUAUAUGGCCAGAUCUACGAAACUUGUUAUCAGGUGGGUCAAAUGGAAGCCGAAUAAUUGUAACCACUCGUAGUAGUGACACAGUUGCUAAGAUUAUUGAUGGUGGUAAGCUGUCGUUUAACUUGGAUUCUCUAAAUGAAGAUGAUUCGUGGUCCCUAUUCAUGAAAAUGGCAUUUGCGCCAGGACAACAGCCAACUGACACCAUAAGUAUGGAUAUUGCAAGAAAGAUUGUAAAAGGUUGUAGGGGCAUCCCUAUGCUCAUAAGGACUAUAGGAAGAAGAAUGUCUGACAUUGAAGAAGUAAAAUGGCAAUCAUUCUAUGAUAAUAAGCUGACGAAGGUACUUCAAAAUGAAGAUGGUGUGUCAGCUUGUCUUCGGUUAAGUUAUGAUAAUCUGUCACCUCCUUUGAAAAACUGUGUCGUUUUUUGUGGACUCUUUCCUAAAGAUUAUGAAUUUGAGGUAGCAACACUUAUAACUAUGUGGAUAUCACAAGGAUUUAUAGUCCGACCCCCACAUUUGCAACAAAGUCUUGAGGAUUUGGGAUAUGCGAAUUUUUUGGAUCUACUUAGCAGAUCGUUUUUUCACGAUACUGAUGAGAAUGACACGAGCGAGAAUAUAACAAAAUGCAAAAUGCAAACUUUAAUGCAUGAUCUUGCAAGAUCAGUAGCUGGAAAUGCAUAUGCAACAUUUCAUUUGAAUGAUAAAGAUAUUUUUGAUGAACCUCGCCAUAUCUCAUUUCAUUUUCAUUUUGAUUCAUCCCAGAAGAUUCCACUUCCAUUGGCUCGAUUGAAAAGAAUUCGGACUUUGAUUUUGCCUAGGCAAUUUGAAAGUGAUUUUGAAAGGAAAUCAAAUAAGCCAAUUUGGAAUGGAUUUAUAGAACUCAAGCUCUUGCGGAUGUUGGAUUUGCAUAAUUCAGGAAUUCAGUUCUUACCAAGUUCUAUUGGAGAGUUGGUGCAUCUGAGGUAUCUUGAUCUUUCUCAGAAUGUAAAUAUGAAGACAUUGCCAAAUUCUAUUAGUAGACUGCGAAAUCUGCAAACUCUGAAAGUCAAUCAUUGCAGUAAUCUCCAAACACUUCCUAGAGGCAUUACAAAGUUAGUCCGCCUGAGAAAUCUUGAAAACGAGUCCUGUUAUUGUUUGACUCAUAUGCCAAGAGGACUGAGUCGACUAGUUAAUCUUCGCACAGUUUCAGAAUUUGUUUUGAGCAACGGCACUGACUUGGUCUCUAACAAAAGUGGCAAGCUGGACGAACUAAAAGAAUUAGAUCACUUGAGAGGGCAGCUCAAAAUUAAAAAUUUGAAGUUUCCAAAAGGUGAUAAGACAGUCGAAGCAAGGUUGCUCAAGAAACUUCAGCUUUCUUCUUUAAUAUUGAUUUGGGAUAUAGAUGAUGCUGUUAGUCCGGUUGAUUGUGAAAAGUCACUGGAAGAUCUUCAGCCGCAUUCAAAUCUUAAAAAGCUGUCGUUAUCUGCCUAUGUUGGGUUCCAGUUUCCAAAUUGGCUUUCGGUUCUUACAAAUCUAGUUGAACUAUCCUUAUUGAACUGCAUAAAUUGCCAAUGCCUACCACAGCUGGAUUGCUUCCCUCGUCUUAGAGUACUGGUGAUGGACAAGUUGACAAAUCUCGAAUACAUUUCGAACAAACAAAUCAGGAAUGAAAGUUUAACAUGUCUUCCAUCCUUGAGAGAGCUUCGACUUACAGACCUGCCAAAACUGGAGAGUUGGUGGAACGAUGCAAGUGACACUAAUGAAGAAAUGACUGUGUUUCCUCUUCUUUCAAAAUUGAUUGUCGAAGAUUGCCCAAAUCUGACUUCCAUGCCUCUGUUCCCAUUUCUUGAAGAACUACUAGUGCUGAAAAACACUAGUUGGAAGCCAUUCCAACGGACUAUCUCAGCAUUAAAGAGAAGUCCAAGUACUACGGAAAUUGAAGUAUCUUCGUCAUCAUCAUCAAAAUUUUCCGCAUUUGCCCCUCUCUCUGCAUUGGAGACUCUACAUAUCCUUCAUAUGCCCAAUGGUGAGCCAAAUAUGUGGCAGGCCCUUCGCAGCCUCCGUUCUUUGAUGUUUCAUCAUAUUGUUGAUAUUAAUUAUCUCCUUGAAGGACUUGAUCAAGUCACCAGCCUUCAAAAACUCCAUAUUUGGCACUGUGAUAGUUUGAAGGAAAUUCCAAAUUGGAUAAGCAACCCUGUAUCACUUAAGACAAUUUCUAUAAAGGCUUGCCCCAAUUUGACAAUACGGCCUGAUAGAAUGAGCUUCAUCACUUCCUUGAAAGUGGAGAUUGAGGACUGCCCUGGAGUUUCUUACAUCGAAACUAUGCUUAAAGAUCAGUUGUACACACGUUAAACCAAAAUCCUCUGCUUGCUCAGGCCCGACUAAAAUAUAUCUGAUGGGAUUGUAAGGAAAUGGCUGUCAUGGCCAGGAUGAUGAUAUUGCUGCAUUUGCUUGUUCCAUUGAUCACUGCAAAAAGAAAGGAGUGUGACAUCAAGAGUGUGGAGUGUAGCUCAGUGGCAGAAAGAAUAAAGCUCACAGUUGAUUUUCUGAGUACUAUUGAACAACUAGUUCUGGAAAACAUUUGUUGGGAGCCAUUUCAUGACCUUCCAAAUAUUGUUACAUCCCCAUAUUUGGCUCUUUGGUAGCAAUCAAGCUAUGCCCCAAUUUGACAGUAGCCCCUGACCUUGAGAGAAUUAGCCUAAUCGCUUCUUUGAAGAACGUGGAGAUUGAGGCCUGCCCCUCGUGUCAUUCACUGAAACAAUGCAUGCAUGCUAAAGAUCGGUUAUAUAUGUAAGGGAUCAUUCAGAAUCUCCUGCUUGUUCAGGUUUAGUAUUACUGAUUAUUUUGCUUUGAACAUUUUUAUUAGCAAUAUGUCUGAUAUACAUCUUUGUACUAUGCUAUAUACGACUGUGACAGUGGUAAGCAUCCAAUUAUUUGACCUUUGUAUCAAUGAAUAUAUUUCAGCUUCAGAAGCAAAGAUCAUAUUAAUUGACACCAAAAGACAUCAUUUGGUAAACCCAAGAAAUUUAAGCUUGAUUGUUGGUGUUAUCUGUAGAAUCUAGAAAGGUGUGGAAUCUUUAAAAUUUUCCAAGAGAAUUUAGUCAUUCAAACUUUGGAUUCAGGCUUUCUCUAAACCAUGUAAACAUUGAAGAUUAAUAGUGAUUGAGGUGGGCUGGCUGCAGUGGGCAAAGGCAGAGGGCUGGUGGUCGAUCGGACUCUGCUGUUGAGGUUCAAGCCUUGGUGGCCGGAAAAGUCCCUCCUGAUUGGUUUUCCUGGAGUGCUUCUGAAAUUCUGAAUUUAGUUUCUUCUUUUCAGUAUUGUAAGUUUUAUCAUAUUAAUAGACAAUCAAAUGUAGUUGCUUAUGGCUUCUGGUUUUUGUAA